UUACGGCUAUAUCACGUUGAAACAACGGUUCCUGUACGAUCACCGAAGUUAAGCAACGUCGACCCUAGUCAGUAACUAGAUGGGUGACAGCUUGGGAAUAUCAGGUGCUGUAA